rnacentral:rRNA from 1 species
AGUGAACGCUGGCGGUAGGCCUAACACAUGCAAGUCGAACGGCAGCACAGUAAGAGCUUGCUCUUACGGGUGGCGAGUGGCGGACGGGUGAGGAAUACAUCGGAAUCUACUUUUUCGUGGGGGAUAACGUAGGGAAACUUACGCUAAUACCGCAUACGACCUACGGGUGAAAGCAGGGGAUCUUCGGACCUUGCGCGAUUGAAUGCGCCGAUGUCGGAUUAGCUAGUUGGCGGGGUAAAGGCCCACCAAGGCGACGAUCCGUAGCUGGUCUGAGAGGAUGAUAAGCCACACUGGAAGUGGGACACGGACCAGACGACUACGGGAGGCAGCAGAGGGGAAAAUUGGACAAUGGGAGCAAGCCUGGUCCAGCCAUACCGCGUGGGAGAAGGAGGCCUUCGGGUUGGAAAGCCCUUUUGUUGGGAAAGAAAAGCAGCAGGUUAAUACCCCGCUGUUCUGACGGUACCCAAAAAAUAAGCACCGGCUAACUUCGUG